rnacentral:rRNA from 1 species
ACGGGUAAGUAACGCGUGGGAAUCUACCCAUCUCUACGGAAUAACGCAUGGAAACGUGUGCUAAUACCGUAUACGUCCUUCGGGAGAAAGAUUUAUCGGAGAUGGAUGAGCCCGCGUUGGAUUAGCUAGUUGGUGGGGUAAAGGCCUACCAAGGCGACGAUCCAUAGCUGGUCUGAGAGGAUGAUCAGCCACACUGGGACUGAGACACGGCCCAGACUCCUACGGGAGGCAGCAGUGGGGAAUAUUGGACAAUGGGCGCAAGCCUGAUCCAGCCAUGCCGCGUGAGUGAUGAAGGCCCUAGGGUUGUAAAGCUCUUUCACCGGUGAAGAUAAUGACGGUAACCGGAGAAGAAGCCCCGGCUAACUUCGUGCCAGCAGCCGCGGUAAUACGAAGGGGGCUAGCGUUGUUCGGAUUUACUGGGCGUAAAGCGCACGUAGGCGGACUAUUAAGUCAGGGGUGAAAUCCCGGGGCUCAACCCCGGAACUGCCUUUGAUACUGGUAGUCUUGAGUUCGAGAGAGGUGAGUGGAAUUCCGAGUGUAGAGGUGAAAUUCGUAGA